UACAGAGGUGGCAAGCGUUGUUCGGAAUUACUGGGCGUAAAGGGCGCGUAGGCGGCCUACUAAGUCAGACGUGAAAUCCCCCGGCUUAACCUGGGAACUGCGUCUGAUACUGGAAGGCUUGAGGAUGGGAGAGGGAUGUAGAAUUCCAGGUGUAGCGGUGAAAUGCGUAGAUAUCUGGAGGAACACCGGUGGCGAAGGCGACGUCCUGGACCGGCAUUGACGCUGAGGCGCGAAAGCCAGGGGAGCAAACGGG
rnacentral:rRNA from 1 species